GUAUAUAUAUUGACUGUCGCUACACCCUGCAUCAUUUGCUUACCGCUAUUAGAGCCUCAAUCAAAAUUGUAACCAAAAUGUCUCGCACAAGCUUAAAACUUCUGCUUAUUUAUUUCUUGUGCGACGCCGAGAUUUCAAAUGCGUCCUUCAUUAAAGAAAGAAGUGAAGUUGCACUCCAUAAAUCAUGUGCUUAAUAUGGAUAUGCUUGUACGAAAGAUAGAGAUUGCUGCAAUAGAGUAUGUCUUCAGUUCUUAAAGAAAUGCAUAACAUAAUUUUGUUCGUUUUUUCUACUAUUAGAUUAAUUAAUUAUUUUACGGUACGGAAAGUGUUACGACUGGAUAAAUUAGGAAUUCGAUGAUUUUUUUUUCAAAUUAAUGUACCUAAAUAUGAUAUUACAUAGUAAUGUUGAUACAAUAAAAUGAAAUGAAAUGUU